rnacentral:snoRNA from 1 species
AACCACUUGAUCAUACCUGCAGCUGUUCCUAUGGUGGCAGCUGUGGCAUUCCUUUGUGGAAAGAAACUUUACACAAGUAAACACCUCUUUCUUAGCAAAACAGAAAGUGGGCAUGCGUGUGACAAGGAAAA